CGGUGGAGCAUGUGGUUUAAUUCGAUGCAACGCGAAGAACCUUACCUACUCUUGACAUCCAGAGAACUUAGCAGAGAUGCUUUGGUGCCUUCGGGAACUCUGAGACAGGUGCUGCAUGGCUGUCGUCAGCUCGUGUUGUGAAAUGUUGGGUUAAGUCCCGCAACGAGCGCAACCCUUAUCCUUUGUUGCCAGCGGUUAGGCCGGGAACUCAAAGGAGACUGCCAGUGAUAAACUGGAGGAAGGUGGGGAUGACGUCAAGUCAUCAUGGCCCUUACGAGUAGGGCUACACACGUGCUACAAUGGCGCAUACAAAGAGAAGCGACCUCGCGAGAGCAAGCGGACCUCAUAAAGUGCGUCGUAGUCCGGAUUGGAGUCUGCAACUCGACUCCAUGAAGUCGGAAUCGCUAGUAAUCGUAGAUCAGAAUGCUACGGUGAAUACGUUCCCGGGCCUUGUACACACCGCCCGUCACACCAUGGGAGUGGUUGCAAAAGAAGUAGGUAGCUUAACCUUCGGGAGGGCGCUUACCACUUUGUGAUUCAUGACUGGGGUGAAGUCGUAACAAGGUAACCAAGGGCGAAUUCCAG
rnacentral:rRNA from 1 species